UACGAGGGGGGCGAGCGUUGUUCGGAAUUAUUGGGCGUAAAGAGCGUGUAGGCGGUUUGGUAGGUCCGCUGUGAAAACUCGAGGCUCAACCUCGAGACGCCGGUGGAAACCAUCAGACUAGAGUCCGGAAGAGGAGAGUGGAAUUCCUGGUGUAGCGGUGAAAUGCGCAGAUAUCAGGAAGAACACCCGUGGCUAAGGCGGCUCUCUAGUACGGUACUGACGCUGAGACGCGAAAGCGUGGGGAGCGAACAGG
rnacentral:rRNA from 1 species